UACGUAGGCAGCAAGCGUUGUUCGGAGUUACUGGGCGUAAAGGGUGCGUAGGCGGUCCUGUAAGUAUGGUGUGAAAUCUCCCGGCUUAACUGGGAGGGUGCGCUAUAGACUGCGGGACUAGAGGGUGGGAGAGGAAAGUGGAAUUCCUGGUGUAGCGGUGAAAUGCGUAGAUAUCAGGAGGAACACCGGUGGUGUAAACGGCUUUCUGGACCAUUUCUGACGCUGGAGGCACGAAAGCGUGGGUAGCAAACAGG
rnacentral:rRNA from 1 species